CUAUGCACUUAUUUGUUGUUGUCUCAUUGUGUCAUUUAAGAGUGUAAAUCUAAAUGUCAUUAUUUGACUGAUAUUUGUUGUGUUUCUGGAAGUUAUUUUGUCAUUAAUGAUUCCAGGUACAUAGGUUCCACAAGGUAGGAGUGUACCCCCUGCUACACUUUGUCGUCGACUGCACUGUGUCCUCACAGUGGUAUGACGAGUCAGACCUCAAUGGCAACAAUCCAAAGGUUGUAUGAGGCAAUUGUGAAAGGUAUUUGGACAGAAAUAUGUAUGUUUGUCUACCUUAAUAAGUCUCUAUCCCUCAACCACCACAUCCGUCAGACUGUAAAAAACGAAUUAUUCCACUUAGACAAAUUCGCCAAAGUCAGCCCCUCCCUCUCCUGUACUGCGGGCCGAACCUCUCAUCCAUGUUUUCUUCUUCUCCCGAACUCACUACUCCCCAGCACUAACAGACUCCCUCGAUAAGCUCCAAAUGGUUCAAAACUCAGCAGCCCAUCUUCUAACCCACACUAAAUCAUCCUGGCAGCAUAUCACCCCCAUCCUCUGUGAACUCCACUGGCUCCCUGUCUCCCACCGCAUGAAUUACAAGAUCCUCCUGGCCGAAAAAAGCUCUCCCCCACCUUGCUACCCCUUACCUCUCUGACCUUCUCUCCUACCAGACCUCAUGCUCUUUCCGCUCAACCACAGUUGGCCAACUUGUCAUUGGGGCGGCAGCGUAGCCUAGUGGUUAGAGCGUUGGACUAGUAACCGAAAGGUUGCAAGAUCAAAUCCCUGAGCUGAACAAGUGGCAAUCAACACCCAUACCCCCACACUACAACCCUCCAACCCUCCUCAACCAGGUUGAACUCCCAAUAUCCCCCACCACUCAGGAGCCCAGCUACACCCCCAUCCUCAACCAGGUUGAACCCCCAAUAUCCCCCACCACUCAGGAGACCAGCUACACCCACACCAAACCAAAGAAGACGGAGAGAAAGUCCUGUCACCCUCAAAAAACCCUCCAACUCACUGAGCAUGACAGUCAACCCCAUCCAAUCCUAUCCAACCCCAUCCAACCCCAUCCUACCCCAUCCAACCCCAUCCUACCUACCAACCCCAUCCAAUCCUAUCCAACCCCAUCCAACCCCAUCCUACCCCAUCCAACCCCAUCCUACCUACCAACCCCAUCCAACCCCAUCCCAUCCUACCCCAUCCAACCCCAUCAUACCUACCAACCCCAUCCUACCCCACCCCAUCCCAUCCUACCCUAUCCUACCCCAUCCAACCCCAUCCAACCCCAUCCUAAUCCUACCCACACC
rnacentral:lncRNA from 1 species